rnacentral:rRNA from 1 species
AUUCCCUACGGGGGGCAGCAGUGGGGAAUAUUGCACAAUGGGGGGAACCCUGAUGCAGCGACGCCGCGUGGGUGAAGGAGUAUUUCGGUAUGUAAAGCCCUAUCAGCAGGGAAGAACAAUGACGGUACCUGACUAAGAAGCACCGGCUAAAUACGUGCCAGCAGCCGCGGUAAUACGUAGGGGGCAAGCGUUAUCCGGAUUCACUGGGUGUAAAGGGAGCGUAGACGGCGACGCAAGUCUGGAGUGAAAGCCCGGGGCCCAACCCCGGGACUGCUCUGGAAACUGCGGCGCUGGAGUACGGGAGG